rnacentral:tRNA from 1 species
GCGGGCAUAACUUAGUCGGUCAAAGUGCCAGACUGUGACUCUGGAAACACGGGUUCAAAUCCCGUUGCUCGCC